ensembl:lncRNA
GUAAGAUCAAUUAUACCUAUGUUAUUCGUGACAAAAGUUUGAUUUGGUCUUGGCUGUAGGGACCCUACAUGUGAUGCAGGGCAGUGCUGCACUACCUGUCCUAUUCAGUGGUCUCCAGAACAUCUGUUAGGAGCCUUCUCCAAGGUGAGCUGAGCCCUCCAUACUUUGUCCUCUUUCCAGGGAUGCAAAAAACAACACAUUGCUUCUCCUUGCAUUAUGAUGGCCCUUUAUGUAUUCCAGGAUUGUUGCUUUGCCCUUUCUCAGUCUUUUCAUCUCCUGAACAGCCUCCAUUUGUUCAACCUUCCCUCAGAGGUCAUGUUUUUGGGAUCAUUCCUGCUGGGCUCUCCUGUGGACUCUCUCUAGUAUUUGUGUAUUUUAUCCAGUGACUAUUGAUACAAAAUGCAGUGAUGAAAAAAGUUGCUUUUGCUGCCUGUGGAUGGUCCAAGUUGCAGAGAGAUCCAUGUGAUCCAGGGUUUCUCCACAGUUGUCUUGGCCCCCUGUCCUCUGCGUAAUGCAUGUGGUGAGGGAUUCAUACACACAUUUCACUUGCAACAACAACAAAUGCAGAGAAGGGGAACAUUUGUGAACAUCGUCUGACAUUUAAACAAGAAAGAAGUGAAAGGAUGCUUUACAGGGAGACUAUUUACGGUAACAUGCUGGAAAAAUAUAUAUAUAUAUAUUCUCCUGGCAGCCAAUCAGUCUUGCAAAAAUUUAUUCCCCUCUGCUUGGGGAAGGCCUCAGGCAAGGUCAAUGGUGACCAGAAAGCAAAAAAAUGUUGAGUUUUGGAAAGAGAUCAUACUGUAGCAAAUGGCUCUUGCAGCCCCCAGACUCCUGCUGCUCCUUGGUGGAGGAGAAAGUGAGGAUCCUUUCCCUUCCCCUGGCUACAAGACCUUGUCCCAAGUCCUGCCAUGAAGCAAGGUCUGGCAUGGGGCAAGGAGUCCGGUUCACUGCGUUCCCUGGGACAGUAAAGCUAUGGGUGCAGAGGGACAACUGGAGCAUGGAACAGCACCCUGAUGCAGGAUGCCAGCCAGUUCGCAAAGGCUAUGAGAAAUAUUUUAGUUUUGUUCUAAGAGCACUUGCUCCCUGGUUACCCUCUGGUGGGACCUGCAGCUCUUCAUGACAAGAUUUAGGAGAUGGAGUCAGUCGGGGAGGACAGGCUGAGGUUUGGGUGCUAGCUUUCACAUGUGUGCAGACAAUGGCUGAUGACCUGUCUGUUGGAAGGGCACACACCUAUAAGGACUGUGGCAAAUGUGAUGGAAAAAAAACAGUUUGAGGAAAACACUAUGUCCUUGUGGCAAUGCCAAGGACAGAAAAUGGACAAAAUUAGUUCUUAAAAAAAUUGCAGGCUCUGAUUUAUUUUCAAAUGUCAAAGGAGAUCUCAGGAAGUCCUGUGCAUUUUCUUCCUCCCUUGUUAUGCUGUAACAGUGGAUAGAAGCUGAGAUUAAAAAUGUUGCCCACAAGCAACACAGUUGUACAAUAAGGAAACUUACACUGUAAGUUAACAGAGUCAUGUUAUUUCCCAUUUUAUGCCCAACAUAAUUUGAUGCUAACCUUGUGGCAAGCAUGCAGUAAUUCUAUAAGCAGAUCCACUGCUCUCCAGAGGCUCCUUUAAAGUGAAAUAACUCCGUUUUUAAGGUUCUGUAUGUACAGGAAACAGGAAAGAAGCUGCAAGCAUUUCUCACAAAAAAAGGGAGGAAUUUUAUUUUUACUAGGAUAAAAUAUAUUGCAGAUUGCUCAUUUGUUUACUUGUUUUUUAAAAAGCAUUGAAUGCUGAAGGCACAUCCAAUAUGUCUAUAUAGCAAUGUGGUGUAGUCUGCAAGACCUUUCAGUGGUUGAAGAUGACACCAAGCUGAGCAGUGCAGUCGAUACACUGGAAGGAAGGGAAGCUAUCCAGAGGAACCUGGAUGGGCUGGAGAAGUGGGCUCAUGAGAACGGUAUGAGGUUCAGUAAGGCCAAGUGCAGGGCGCUGUACUGGGGCUGGGGCGAUCCCAGGUAUUUAUACAGACUGGGGGAAGAUCUCCUUGAGAGCAGCCCUGCAGAGAAGGACUUGGGAGUCCUGAUGGACAAGAAGCUGGACAUGAGCCAGGAGUGUGUGCUUGCAGCCCAGAAGGCCAACUAUGAUAUGGGCUGUAUUAAAAGAGGAGUGGCCAGCAAGGAGAGGGAGGUGAUUGUCCCCCUACUACUCAUUGUACCCCUCUACUUGGCCCCAUCUGGAGUACUGUGUCCAGGCCCAGGGCCCCCAGCACAAGUAAGAUGUGGAGCAGAUCCAGAGGAGGGCCACUAAGAUGAUCAGAGGGCUGGAGCACCUCUCCUAUGAAGAAAGGUUGAGGGAACUGGGCUUGUUUAGCUUGGAGGAGGGAAGGUUCCAGGGAGACCUCAUUGUGGCCUUCCAAUACUUGAAGGGAGCAUAUAAACAGGAGGGGGAAUGACCGUUUACGUGGGUGGAUAGUGACAGGACAAGGGGGAAUGGUUUUAAACUGAGACAGAGAGGCUUAGGUUAGAUAUUAGGAGGAAGUUUUUGACACACUGGAACAGGUUGCUCAAGGACGUUGUGGAUGGCAUUCAAGGCCGGGCUGGAUGUGUCUCUGGGCAGCCUGGUCUAGUAGUUGGCGACCCUGCCUAUGGCAAGAGGGUUAAAACUAGAUGAUCAUUAUGUUUUUUUUCAACCCAGGCCAUUCAGUGAUUCUAUGACUGUGUAGUUCUAUGAUUCUAUGAUUCUAUGAACGUGGCAGACACUGUCCAGAAGCAAUUCUUAUAUUUCAUAUUUCUCUCUCUGCCAUUGAUUUUAUUCUAUAUUGCUUUAUACCUUUUAUUCUGUCUGAAUUGAUUUAAUAGCAUUUUGUCUAUUUGCUUAAAACUGAACAGUAUGAGAAACAUGAAGGAAAAAUAAAUUUUUAACUUGGAGCAUUUCAGAUAAUGGCUUUUGAGAUGCCAUGAGUCUGUAUUUUGUGUACUCUCUGCAUCGCACAGAAAAGAUGUAAAGAAAGUCUGAUACGGGUCCCAGGGUAGACCGAAGUUGCACAUCUCAUGGUGCUCAGAAACUCUAUCCCCCUUUGCUCCUAGGGCAAACUAGGGCAAACUUGAGCUGCAAACUUUUCUUCCCCAGGCUACAGUAGUGCCAGGGCUUUUAGAGUCAGGUUCUGACCAGAGAAGGCGACCAAGGCGGCACAUAGCACUAGGUCUGGUAUCUUUUACAAUGAGAGUGCAUUCUUGUCACGGGGCAUGCAGUAGGUGUUGAGGAGGGGCUCAGGCAGGUGGUUGGUGGCAGCCACAUUCCCUUGGGGCUGCCCUGCAGCGAAGCUCUGGCUCUAGCAUGGGCUCUGUCUUUCAGCAACAGAGCAUUAACUUGUCACCCUCAGCCUCACUCUUUCCUGUGGUUUAAUCUGGAGCUGGGUUUGAAACACAAAGGGAAUCUUGUGUUUCAUGUUCUUCUCCCUAGUUGCCUCCCUCACUGCUGUUGCUUAUUUAUAGAGAGAUUGCUGCAGGUGAUACCUAGAAAUUGCUUACAGUCUUUAGUCUCUAAAGUAUGUUUCAAAUGGUGCUGCCUCACUGCUAUAUCUUGGCAAUGCUUACUUUGUAUUUUCCCCCAUGUCUAUCCUGCAGUUCACUUACAAAAGGUAAAUGAAUUUAUAGGGUAUCCCUCUGAAUGGAGGGACAGUAAUUUAGCAUAAUACAAAGCAUAAUUCAGGUUGGGUAUUAAGAAAAACUUCAUAAAGAGUGGUUGGGCAUUGAAACAAGCUACGCAGGGAGUUGGUGGAUUCACCGUCCCUGGGGUGUAUGACAUCUAUGUAGAUGUGAUACUGAGGAAUAUGGUUUACUGGGAAACAAUGGUGGUAGGUGGAUGGUUGGAUUAGAUGAUCUUAGAGGUCUCUUCCAACCUUAGUGAUUCUAUGAGUCUAUGAUUCUAUGAAGCAUCAGUGUGUGCAACCUGAAUCUGUACAGCUACAAAAUGACCUCAUGUUCUGUAUGUAUUGCAAAAGUGUUUGAUUUGCUUUUCUAAUUGUUUCUCCUUUAUUCUUUAGAUCAAGAGACGCUUCUAAAAGUAAAGUUUCAAAACAAAAAUGUCAAAAAGUUUCAAUCUGAAAUUGCCAAAAGAAAAUUAUUUGAAUGUAUGUAAUUUCUUUCCUCUUCUGUUCUCUUCUUUGAAUCCAGACUACAUGGGAAGUCAGGCUAAGUUUUGUACUAGUUCAUAGAGCCAAAGAAUGGUUCUACCACAUCACAAAACAUUGCAGUAGUCUGAAAAAAUUUCUCAGCUACACCCAUGCAGCAUUGUGUUCAUUGCUGAUGAAUUUCUCAAAGCUGCCUUGACAAAUUCUAUUGUUAUUCAUUAUUUACAUUAGCGCCUGUGAGGUUAUAGGUUUUGUCUGGCAAAAUAGUAAAAAACAGUAAAUAUAGCCUUUGUCUCUGAAACUUCACCAUUUUCAACAUCCAUGAGGGAUUUUGAUGCAUGAAAUAACUCAGUUUUGCUGCUCUGUCUGGAGUAGCUCAUUAGUUAAUUCCUUGAGUGAUGUGCGUAAAAUGGUGCAGACUAUGGAUGGGACUGCAGGCAUGGCUCCUGAGGAACCACCACAUAAUAUUUAACAGAUUUAGAUCUCCUCACUAUCAUAGUAUCUCCAGUCUCAAGUAGUCACAUGAAAGACAAAAUGAAUGAGCUAUAAGAAAUUCACACCAUGCAGCAUUGCUAUAAGUAAUAAAUCUCCUGCGGAAAAGGAAUUUGUAUAGAAAUAAUAAAAGUAUCAGAUGCUAAGAAGAAGUAAAACCAGCUGGGUAAUAUAAAAGAAAAUCUUUAUCCUCAUUUCACUGGUGAAAACUAAUUCAAACAAAAUCCAUUACAUAAAUCAUACACUUGAAAUUAUUUACAUAAAAACAGAUGGAGAGAGUUCCUACUGUGAUGAUGAUGUUUUGGCAAAGUAUGUCUUCCACAGAGCAACUAUCUUUCUGCAAACAAUGGUGUUUGUUCUGCUUUCGUCAGGGUGUAAACCUCUGGCAACCCUUGAAUUCUGUGGGGGCUCAUGUACAAAGCAGGGCACAGCCUGUUUCACUGCCAUUUUUGUGGCUACAGAAAAGUGAGGCUCUAAAGAAAAACUGUACUUCAUGCUGCCCGUGUUCUGGGGCUGCUGCAGCACAUGCUGUCUGUUUUACAGGAACAGAAUAAUUCCACCAUCUCCCUGGGCAGCCUGUUCCCACACCUCACCACUCUUUCUGAGAAGUUGUUCAUCAUGUAACAAAGACAUUUUUGAUGACUAUUUGAAAAGACUAAGUAAGUUAGGCAGACCACAUUGGGAAUGGGAAUUGAAACACACUGAACCACAUUGGGAAGUGAAAAACAUACUUCUGCGUAUACCAAUGCAGAGACAAGGUGCUGACCCCUAUAUACAGAUGAUCCCAUGUGCUCUUCAGCUCAUAAACGAGGUUCAGCGUGCAGGGUUUGGAACUCUUUGCCUUUUCCUGAUUGCUCUCCCUCUUCUUAGAAGAAAUAUCAGUGCAAUUUCCACCUCAGUUCUUGGUGUUUCUAGCUCAUUGCAUGACCUCCCUUCCAACAGCUCCACUACUCCCAUGCUACUUCUUCAAUUGCUGUUAAAAACAGCUUCAUGUUCAAAACAUACUAUUCCUGUCAAAAUAUUAAUUUCUUCCACAUGAUGGAAAAAUAUAAGCUGUCCCUUUAAAAAUGCAUCAUAAAAAUGAACGUUCAUGAAAUAUGAGUCAAGUUUCCAUAUACCUUAAUCAAAUUCUAGAGGGUCUCUAGGGGUUGGGACCUUCCGUGCACCUGUGCAAUGUGAAGUUUGUUCCAGUUCUGAUUGCAAGUAUUUCAUAGUAUAGUAUAGUAUUGCUUCCUUCAUUUUUGCCAUUGAAAACCCCAAGAUGCUUUCUGCAGGCUGAAGGUGCCAUUUUUGGGGGUGACAGUGAUAAGCCGUAGAGAUGGUGUGGCAUACUAACUAUCAGACUUGGAACCAGCAGAGUCCUCAAGCCAAAUAUCAGUCUUGAAAUCCCCAGAACAAAAUGUACCUGCCUUUCUCAUUCCCUGUUUUUUUUCCACAGGGAAAUAGACAGGACCAGGUUUGCAUGAGCUAUAGAGUUUGCCUGUAAAAGCAAUACUGUGAUUGGGUAUCACAGUUUUUAACAUGCUUUUUUUUUUUCUUUCCUUUUUUUUUUUUUGUUAAUGAAUAAACUAAUUCCUGAACUUGCUCAUUUUUCCCUCCUUUCUUCUCUUCUGCUCCCCACCAUUACCACUGCCCAUGCUGUUGGGUCUGCACAUGACAUUUAUGGUCGUACACAUGGUUCGUACAGACCUUUCUUCCCAUUCAGAGCACCUUUACCCAUACCUACAUUUCCCAUCAAGAAGCUCAUUAAUUUUGUGCUCUUUGCUCUACCUUGGUAUUCCCAGUGAGCUUGUCUCUGCAGCCAGGGAACUUCCUUUCUCUGGGGCCCUGGGAGUCUUUUUGGAGCUGCUCUAGCAGGGCAUUUCCAUGGAAGGCUUCGUCUGGUGCACUGGAUUCCUACUACCAUUUCCCUGGGGAGGAUUCCACAGACUAAUAGACCUCAUUAUUAGAGCAUUUUUCCUAAUUUUCUGCCUAAAAUUACCUUUAUUUUUUGCUGUCUCAGGAAAACUUCUUGGUUGUGUGUGUCAAAUGAAAGAGAACAUCAAUAUUUUUAGCAUUUGUUAAUAGCCAAAUGCUGAUAAAGACAACUGGUGCCUUUUAAAUCAAGCAUCUGCUGUCAACAGUCAUCUGAGUCUUAGAAUUUAAAAAAAAAAAAAAAAAAAGGCUUUGCUGAUACUUCAGAUGGGUUUCAUUUCACAUUGCAAAGUUGCCAAGGUCACGUGGAAAGGGGACUUGUUGUAGAAUUUAGCAUUUUUACACACUUGGAACAGUGUUUGAGGAAAGGAAAGAGGGAGAGGCAUAAACUGGGGACUGGGCCACAGAUGUCUGCUGGGGUCCACAAAGUGUGUGUGCAUCAUCUGUGAGCUAUUAAGCUCUCAUAGCUUUUGCCAUCUAAUAUCCUUGUUCAGGAAUGUACAUACUCCAAAAUAAAUUAGAUGGGGAUAUGGUAUCUUGUAUCUGUUUUAACUCAUCUGUCUCUGCAGAAGGAAAUUCACCAGUCCUGGUGUUCACAUCCUCCCAGCUGCCCAGAGGCAGUGACAAGAGCAUCUGAAGCAGCAUCCACCGCUGUGUAGAGGGAGAGAUGAGUGGUCCUGAUUGCUGGGUGAAAGGGACAGGCAUGCAGCUACACCAUGGUCCAGCAGACACAGCCCAGGAGUCCACAGUAAGUGAUUCUGCAGGGGCUCUAGAAACACAAGCAGCUGCUGAGGGUCCUCCAGAGGAUGAAGAAAAAUCCUGAGAUGCUGAAGGAAGCUUUGAUGCAGAGGAUCUGCUGAUGGAUGCAUUAAUACAAGUGGAAAUAAGGCCUGUUAAAUCUUGCCUGAGCAGUUUUGGUAAGUGGGUGCUCUUCCCCUUGGAACGCAUGCAGAAGCAUCCUCUCUGUGGGGAAGGGUGAUCACAAAGAAAGCCACUGUUUCUGGCACUGCUCACCAAGGUUUAUUAGUGUGUAUCCUUUGAGGGCUGUGAACAUCUGCAGAGGACUGGAACUGCACAGCUGAGCACAUGGUCUCAAACCUGAUGUUUCCACGGGCUAAACAGGACAAGCGGUGAGCAGAUACCAAAGUUUUGAGUGCCACUGUCACAUGCUUACCUGCUUUUCCAAAAGACCAUGUCUUGCAAAGUCAGGAUGGAAAAUGCAGGAGUAUUUUGGCUUCUGGAAGCAUUUUUCUCCCUUGAGAGCUUUUCACCUUAAGCUACUCAUUCAGUAACUGGAGGACUGGCAGAGGCUGCCCAGAGUACUCUGUUCUGGAUGGCCCUGCUGGGGCUGGGGUUGUGCCAGACGUGCCAGGGCACUGCUACCCUCAGCUGUUCUGUGAUGUUGUAAUGGCUAAAUCAGUUGUAAGCAACUGCUAACAUUUAACCAUUCAUGUGAAAUGAGUGUGGGUCUCCAUCCCACUACCACUGCCAGUUUACCACCUCCCAGAUGGUACCAUCAGUGCUGCUUACAGUUGGCCAACAGCUGUUGCUGAGGUUGCCUUUCUGAUCUUGGAAGAGGUCUAGGCUGCAUGAAUUUUGCACUGUCCUCCAAUUUUACAUACUCCCAAGUGCCCUGUUUUGGCUGGAAAACCUGAUGGUCUAGCCCUUCUGAUGGCAACCCUGUGUGUUACAAGGGGAGGGAGAAAAGGGUUUGCAACCACAUGAUGAGAGCUGAGGGAAUGAUGAGUGGAAAAUCAGUUUAAUUGUCAUUAUUCUUUUUUAUUUGUCUUCUUGGAAAUAAGACAAAUGCUGUCCUUUCCCCUUUUUUCUUUUGGCUAAUAUUAGGCAUAUAAUACAGGCUGAAUACAUAAUUUUAUAAAGACUCAACACUGCUUGAUUAGUGUUAUUUGGAUCACAUUUUGAGGUUAUUAUCACAAAAUGGACUGGUUUUUCUGUGUAUUAAUUUUAAUGAUGAUGUUUUCUCUUGUGUAACUUCAACUAAAGAGAAAGGCAUCCUAAUGUUACCAUCUACGGAGAAAAGAAUCGUACAAAAGUUGGCUAAUGGAACAUUUCACUCCACCUAUUAACUCAAAAAAUAGAAGUCACAUGUUUCCAUUUACAAGUAUUUUAGUGAAAAGGCAUUAAGUGAAACAUUUUGUCAUCAAACAAUGUAGCUGAGCAUGUACCUUCUCAUGGCGUGGUGGGCCUCAGAUGUUUAUCAUUUCAUAGAAUCAUAGAAUAAUUUCAGUUGGAAGGAACCCUCAAAGGUCAUCUAGCUCAACUCCCCUGCAAAGAACAGGGAUACCUACAACUAGAUCAGAUUUGCUCAGAGUCCUGUCCAGCCUGACCUUGAAUGUCUUCAGGGACCGGGCAUCCACCACCUUUCUGGGCAAUCUGCCCUAGUGCCUCACCACUAGUAUUGUAAAAAUCUUCUUCCUUAUAUCCAAUCUAAAUCUCCCUUCUUUUAGUUUGAAACCAUUUCUCCUUGUCCUGUCACAGCAGUCCCUGUUUAAAGAGUCUGUCCCCUUCCUUAUAGCCCCUUUUUGAUACAGAAAAGCCACUCUCAGAUCUCUUGGAUUCAGAUCUCUUUUCAUCCCUUGGGCCAUUUUUGUGGCCCACCUCUGGACAUGCUCCAACAGGUCCAUCUCUCUCAUGAGGAUUUCUGUACUGAGGACUGCACAUCUAGAUGCAGUACUCCAGGUGAGGCUUCACCAGCUUCAGUAGAGGCUUCAGUAGAGAGGCAGGAUCACCUCCCUCCCCCUGGUGGCCAUACUUCUUUUGAUGCAGUUCAGGAUACAGUUGGCUUACUGGGCUACAAUGGCACACUGCUGGCUCAUGUCCAUCUGGUCAUCCCCAAGUUCUUUUCAUUUUGUAUUGUUUAGAAAUACAGUGAUAUAAAUUUGGGUCAUAGAAGGGCUCUGAGUGUUUGGAAGAGUUACCUUUGGACCUGCACAGGGCUCCUAUGGUAAGAAGGACCCUGAAGGUUUGGCUCUGGGCAGCUGGGUUUCUGCUUCAUGCUGUGGUUAAUUACAACAUGUCCUCAUGUGCUCCCGGGGGUGUGCAGAGCCAGGAGCUCAGAUUUCCUCCCCAAACACCUCUUUGUGGUGCUACUGCCAGAACUCCCUGCAGCUCAAUGUUCAUUCUGAGAAAAGGCUCUGCAGCAUGAUGAAGGGCUUUGCGGAAAAUGAAUGUCAUCAUUAGUGACUCCAGGACUGCAUUUUGGCUCAGAAUUGUGCAAUUCUAUUUCAAGGUUAACAGCUAACUUAAUCUGGGUGGAUGUUUGUCCUCAGAACAGCUAGUUUCUCCUCAAAAUAAUCUCUCCAUUCUUUUCCAUCCUGAGAAACACCACUCAGGUCCCCAGGUGUGAGAGCUGACACGGAAAGGUUGUUCAACAAAUUACAUUUGGCUGAUCUGAAAUUCCAAAAUAAGGCAAAUAGUGCAGUAGGUCUGAGCAGAGGUCAGGCAUCAGCUUCCUCUAGUGCGUAUAUAAAGAGCAGCUUGUGUUCCUCACAGCCAGUGAGAAUCCUGCUCUGAGCAUGUCACAGGAGGAAUUCACAAAAUGACAGUGCUUUCCCAGGCCUUUACUCAAAUUUAACCUUUGGAAAUUUUUUUCCCUAUUUUGUUCCUCACGUCACAAUGUGAAAUUAUAAUACAACUUACACCUUAAAUAAAUAUAUGUGUAAAAUCUCAAAAAGCAGUGCAUAUGUGCAAGGUAGAUCUUUUUUGUGUUUUUGUUGUUGUUUUCCCUUGAUUCAUACCUUAAAAGGUUUCCUUUGUGAACAGCUUAGGAGUUUUAAACUGGAAGGCCAGCUUACAACCAAACUGUGAAAUAUAUGCAGCAUAGAUGUAUAUUCACCUUCAUGGCUAUUUCACAAGGUGGAGGCUGUGUCCCUUUCUGACAGCUUGGUAGAAAGCAUAUCCUUCAUGUGGAAGUUUGAUGGUGAUAGAAUUGAUGAAUGUUUCCACUGAUCCUGAAGAUGGGUUGCAGGCUCAGAUGCAAUGGGGUUAUGUUCAGUGCUAAAUUCCCAUUGGGAGGGCUGGGAAGGGUUUCUGCAGUCUCUUUCUCCAUCCCAAUCAGGAUCACCUGUACCUGGUGUGUUCUUGGUUCAUCUGGCUUUCGUCUAAACUGUCUGUUGGGCUGAAAAAAGUUUAUGGGGCAAUUUAUCGCAUGGGUAGUUACCCAUUCUAUUAAAUAGCCUGAGUCAUUGCUGUUGAAGUGACAACCCAUCUUGUUGUGUCCCACAUGAGCUUAAUCCCAUUCCUUUUGGCAGUGAGCUUUUACAGGCAGUCAUCCACCCCUCCACCUCCUCUACUUGAUUCGAUGAUUCUGUAAGACUGGAGCAUUGGAAUGGGCUGCCCAGGGAGGUGGUGGAGUCACUGUCCUUGGAGAUGUUCAAGAAAAGGAUAAGUGUGGUACUGAGGAACAUGGUUAGUGGGUAUGGUGGUGAUGAGUCAGCAGUUGGACUAGAUGAUAUUAGAGGUCCAUUACAACCUUAUUGAUUAUAUGAUUCUAUUCUAUGCUUGGGGCUUUGAACCCCUCUGAAGUUCCUGCAGGUUUCACAUGUUCUUUGUCAGUACUUAGGACUGCAGCCUCCAAACAGCCUAACCAGGGAAACAACACUGCAAAACAAAUCCCAGCUUGUCCACUGCAGGUGCAAGGCUGACACAUCCCCAUCUCUUAAUGCUAUGGACUGAGCCAAAGAAGCUCCAGGGUGCCAAUACCUAAGGAAGGUCUGCAGGUGUUGUACUGAGAUGGAAAUGCCCUGUGCAUCCAAAGGUGAGAGCCACACAUCCCACUGGUCCCCUGAAGGAAGAAGCAGUUACUCCUGAGCCUUGCAUUGUCUCCCAAGUUCUCUCUACAACGCAGAACAUUGACAUCUUUCCAAAACACAGCAGAAAAAAAUGGAUAUUAAAACAGGUAUUUUAAAAGCAAUCUUACUCUUUAUUUUUUGGUGGAGUUCUAGUUACAUGCUACUCUUAGAUGCGAUCCAUUUUCUAAUAGGUCAAAAGUCUCAUGGGAAUCAGGCAAGAAACUGUGACAAGAACUAAAAUUAUCUCUACUGCUCCCUUGCACAGAUGGUGCUUUUCUGAAGCUGAGUGGGGUGAAACUGGUGAACACUGUGGGUGCAAGCUGAGGCUAUUCUGGCAAGAACCCCUGCAGAGUUUUGCUAUAGGCAGCUUCUGAUCACAGGGGUUCACCAAGACGUUCAUCACCAUGCCAAGGGCAGUGUCUGUAGGGGGGAAAUGGAAAGAAGCUUGGAACUCUUAAAUAGUUUCAGCACAAAAAAAGCUUCUACUGACAGCUGCUGAAACACAGUCUUUCAAACACAGCGAUGAACUUGAGUGUCUAGGAUUUUAAGCUAAUUAAAAUAGAACUGGAUGGAAUUAAUAUAAACAUAGCUUCAAACCAGGCCAAGGAAAACAAAACCCCAUGCAGGCUGACCUGAUGAAGAUUGUGGAAUACAGGUGCCAUUCAAUUUUCUGGAAUAGCAUAUUAUUUUUUAUUCUGAUGUUGAUAGGAAAAUAAUUUACAGACUCUCUCAGUAGGUUAUGUUGGAUUUCAUUCCGGUGUCUCCUUUUGCAAUAAUGCUAAUGGCAAAAGAAAUGCACAUUGAUAUUGUUUUAGCUGCAGCAGAAAUGCCAGGGAACUCAGAUCUGUGCUAUCACCUCGUCAGUGGGCAAAUUACUAAAUCGGAAUUUUAUGAAAUUACUCAAUAUUUGUGCAGACAGCUUCCAGGAAAAAGCACUUGUGUCUAUUUAGCUCUAGUGUGUAACAGAUGGGUAGAGACAAGUUAUUUCUUUGUAGCCAGACUCAUACUGACAUUUUAAGACAGCUUUCCUUAGGUGCUCAUUAGUUCUUGUAAGCCAGAUAUUAAAUCUUACCUUAGAGCAAAAUUCAGUCAUAUAAAAGGCCUUCAAGCAAUGUUGUAGUGUGUUACUUGCAAGAAAAUUAAAUGUAACCCAUCCUUUCAAAAUUGUAUUUCAUUUUAGCUUACAGCAUUUAGAUGUUAGAAGUCAGUUAUUUAUCUAUUAACUUUAAGCUGUUUAGGAACUUUAAGCUGUUCAAGGAAUUGUUGACCAAGAUCUCCUAGGACGCUGUCCUUAAAGACAAAGAUGCUGAGGAAAACUGGCUACUCUUCAAGGGUGCCUUUCUGAGAUCACAAGAGCUCUCCAUCCGUCUGAAUAAGAAAGCAGGAAGACAGGGCAGGAAACCAGCAUGGCUCAGCAAGGACCUGCUGGGCAAACUGGGGGGAAGGAAAGGCACAUACAAACUUUGGAAACAAGGGUGUGUCACCUGGGAAGAAUACAGGGAUGCCAUUUGGACUUGCAGACAUGGGAUCAGGAAAGCCAAGGUGCAGGCAGAACUGAACUUGGUGAGGGAUGUGAAAAACAAUAUGAAGACAUUCUACAGGUACAUUGGCCAGAAGAGAGAGGCCAAAGAGAGUGUAUCCUUUGGUAAAUGUAAAAGGAGGGCUGGCUUCAACAGAUGGAGAGAAGGCUGAGGUACUGAAUAAGUUCUUUGCCUCAGUCUUCACUGGCAGCCAGGACUCUAAUAUUUCUCACAUCCCUGAACCCUGCAUCCCUAAACUUCUAGGUGGGGACCGGGUGAGUAAAUCCCCCCCCCCCCCCACUGUAAGGACAGAGCAAGUCCGAGACCACCUCAUGAGACUGAAUGCGUACAAGUCUAUGGGGCUGGAUGGCAUGCAUGGAUGGCAGGGUUCUGAAGGAGCUGGGUGAGGUGGUUGCUGAGCUGUUCUCUAUCAUAUUUGAAAAGUUGUGGCUGUCAGGUGAGGUCCUGGAUGACUGGAGGAAGGGUUGCAUCACUCCCAUUUGUAAGAAUGGGAGCAAGGAGGACCUGGGGAACUACAGGCCGGUGAGUCUCACCUCUGUACGUGGGAAGAUCAUGGAGCAGAUCCUCCUGGACGACAUGCUUGAUUACAUGAGGAAUGAGCGUGUGAUCCGAGACAGCCAGCACGGCUUCACCAGGGGAAGGUCAUGCCUAACCAAUCUGGUGGCCUUCUAUGGUGGAGUGACGGCACUGGUAGACAAAGGGAAGGCGACUGAUGUCAUUUACCAGGACUUAAGCAAGGCUUUUGACAUGGUCCCCCACCACAUCCUUAUCUCCAAAUUGGAGGGAUGUGGAUUUGAUGGGUGGACCACCUAAUGGAUAAGGAAUAUGUUGAAAGGCCACAGACAGAGGGUGGUAAUUAAUGGUUCUAUGUCCAGGUGGAGGCCGUUAAUGAGUGGUGUCCCCCAGGGGUCUGUCUUGGGACCGGUGCUCUUUAACAUCUUCAAGAAUGACAUCGAUAAUGGAAUUGAGUGCACCCUCAGCAAGUUUGCUGAUGAUACCAAGCUGAGUGGUGUUGUCACUGUGGAAUGAAGGGAAGCCAUUCAGAGGGACCUCAACAGACUUGAAAGGUGGGCCCAGGUGAAUCUAAUGAGUUUCAACACAGCAAAGUGCAAGGUUUUUGCACUUGGGCCGGAGGAAUCCCAGGCAUAUAUACAGACUGGAAGGAGCAGUCCUUGCGAGUAGCCCUGCAGAGAAGGACGUGGGAGUCCUGGUGGAUGAAAAACUUAACAUGAGCCAGCAGGGUGCUCUUGCAGCUUGGAAAGCAAGUGGUAUCCAGGGCUCCAUCAGUGGAGGGGUGGCCAGCAGGCACAGGGAGGUGACAGGACAGCAGCCCUCUCUACUCUGCCCUUGUGAGGCCCCAUCUGGAGUACUGUGUCCAGGUUUGGAGUCCCCAGUACAAGAAAGCUGUUGGAGAUGGUCCAGAGGAGGGCCACAAAGAUGAUCAGAGGGCUGGAGCACCUCCCCUAUGAAGACAGACUGAGGGAGCUGGGCUUGUUCAGCCUGGAGAAAAGAAGGCUGCAGGGUGACCUAAUUGCAGCCUUUCAGUACCUAAUGGGAGCCUAUAAACAGGAGGGGAGUCAACUCUUUGAAAGGGUAGAUAACAGCAGGACAAGGUGAAAUGGUUUUAAGUUGAAACAGAGAAGAUUUAGGUUGGAUGUCAGGAGGAAGUUCUUUACUAUGAGUGUGGUAAGGUCUGGAACAGGCUGCCCAGAGAUGAUGUGGAUGCCCCGUCCCUGGAGGUGUUCAAGGCCAGGUUGGAUGGGGCCCUGGGCAGCCUGUUCUAGUAUUAAAUGUGGAAGUUGGAAGCCCUGCCUGUGGUGGGAGAUGUUGGAGAUUCAUGAUCCUUGAGGUCCUUUCCAACCCAGGCCAUUCUGUGAUUCUGUGAUAUUCUUCUACUGCAAUUCUUCCACAAAUCGUGGGUCAGAGCACUCUGACAAUUAUCACUGACAAAUAGGACAUCUUCUCUUCUUAUUGCUACUCCGAAGAGCAGCCUUGGGAUGGACCAACAAAGAGGAAGCAGGACAGAGUCCCUCAGGCUGAGCCUUCAAGUCAGAUUGCAAGUGAUGGAUGGCUGACAGAUGAAGCUGCAAGAGAGACUUUUCCCUGUGGGGCCACCAACAGCACAGGCAGACCCUGCAUCUUCUCCAGCCUCCAUCUACAGCUGUGUUCCACCAAAGCUGUCCAGGUCGGAACUUCUCCCUCCAUGGCAAUGCAGGUAAAGGUGGGAGAAUUCCACAACUCUCCAAACCACCCCACCACUCUGGUCUACAGCCACAUUGCACAGAGAAGUAAGGUAGGUGCUGGGAUCUAAAUAGCAUUUUCUCUUUGUGAUGCCAACCAUUUCCACUCACUUCAAGAUCUUCUCAGGCUUGGAAAUGUGUGGCUCUGUACGUGUUCCUUUCCCAUCCUUUCCAGGCCAAAAUUCCUGAUUAGCAGUGAUUGCUUACAUGAGAGUUCUAGCUUUUUAGUGGUAAAAUGCAAUUAUCUGUUGUUUCACACUUGUUUCUGAAAUGUUGUGAGCACGAGGGAAAAAAAGAGGACAACCCACUUCAGAAAUUAAUGGCAGUCAGCUAAUGUAAAUACAAUUUCCCAGCAUAUCCCUAAGCACUGCAUAUCAGACAUCAGUGAUUUCAGAUGAGUCCUUAAUCUGAAUUCAUCUUUGUUGGGGUUGGUAUGUUAACCAUACACUCUGUUGACUUUUAAUGUGUGAGAAUAACAUUUCUAGAGGUAUAUUCCACGUUCUGAUAUCAUCCUGAAAGCAAUUAUAUAGUGACUUAAACAUUCACUUAAAAGUCCUAGCUUCGUGAUAAAGAGUUUCUUGUUGGAAAAUGUUUAUGAAGUGACUCAGUACAAUUUACUAUCCAUGGAUGAACUACUUCUAACCCCCCCAGCAGCUUGCAUUUCUCACUACCACUGCACCCAACACAGCUGAGACGUUAAUGAGUGAUGAACAGCUUCUCUGUAACAUCAGUUCUGCCCCUUCUGAGUUAUGCUUUCCUUGUGGGGAGAGGUGCACCAAAGUGCUUUUGAAGUGUUGCUGCAACCUUGCAGUAGGGGAGAAUGGUUUUGAAAGCUGGUGUCACGAGUGCAGCGACUUGAUGCUGGACUCAGAUGUGAACGAUCCAAAUCGUUUAUUACAAGUUCUCACCUCGCUUAUAUACCUUCACAAGUUUUCUAGCUUUAUCAUCCACCCCUACAACUUUCCCAUCCACCUUUACAUGUCAACAGAGCAUUCUACACUCUUCAACCAUUCAUGUGGGUGCUUAUCCAAUCAGAGCCGUGAGCUAUUCUUUCUUCUUCUAGAGGUGUCCUUGGUUCUCAUGAUGUUUAUCUUGCUCCACAGCUGCUGCUUCUGAACAGUUUUUCUUGUAUUCCCACAAACAAGCAUGGUGUAGUGCACCAGACAUGUCUGUGCAAUAAAUAAAUAAAUAAAUAAACCCAGCCCAAAUAUUUAGUUUUGUUUUAUGAAAGGAUUGUGAAAGAGGAGCUCUUCUGAUCAGCAGAUAGUUUCACACACAUUUCUCAUCAGCCACAGUGGAAUGCUCAAAAUAGGAUCAAUUUUGGUGAUGUCUCACACCAGAAAAAUUCUUGCAGAAUCCUCUCACUGUUUUACCAUCAUUCUAGCCAGAUUAAACAAACCAAAUCCUCAUGGGGGUUCAACAAGCACAUUUACCCACCAGAGUCCAUGCAGGGUACCUCUCUUCUCUAAGGAGAAGGUCGAUUCUAAAAGAGAGAAGAUCCUCCAGUGGCAUCUGCUUCAUCUCCCUUCUACCCCCCUCUGUGUAUGGAAAAGAAACACAGAAUCAGCUGAAGACUGGAGGGCUCAAAUUUUAUACACAUCUCUCCAAAAUGGAGAACAAUUUCAGUGUGGGUAUUUGAGGUCAUCUUGUGUAAUUUUCUACUUGGAUAGUAUAUAAGUAUGCAUAACACUCUGCAGCUAAGCCCCCUAAGAUUGCUUUGGUCUUGAUGACCUAAGGAUGUAACUGAGACAAGAUCUGCAAGAAUGCACUUCUCUAUAAAAUAGCUUAUUCUCUCCUCACAAAUACUGCCACCUCUGUAGAAAUGUUACUAACCUCUGCUGAGCUCCAGUGAGUACUCCUGCAGAAGUACUUCCUGCCUUCUCCCUCUGACCCAGGCAGCAGGCAAGAUUCAGAAAAUGGGCUUGGUUUUAAUUUAAUUUGAUGAGAAGGAACCUUCUGUUAUGGAUAUAGCAAUAGCAGCACAAACUGUACUGUGAGCACAUCACUAUUUUCCUUUGCUUAGGGAGCUGGAUUCUGCUUUUUUUUUUUUUUUUUUUUUUUCCCAUGAAUCUAAUCUGGAUUUGUCUUUUAAAACAGCAUAUUUCUGUCACCUGUCUCUCUUCUUUUAAUAGCCUAUCUUCGAAAGAGUGUCUGCACACACAGGAAAAAUCACUAUGCAUUUAACAUAAAUGGGACUGCAUACUACACAAACUGCUGAUACAUUUCCAGACAUAGACUGAAAAAAAAUUUAUGAUACCCCUUACACAGCUCCAUACAAAUAUUUAUGCAUAGCCUGUAUUUUACAAACCCUUAUCCUUGUGCUGCAGGUCCUUCCAAGCCACGUGAAGUUAAUGUGGUGUCAGACAUGUCUGUGCUCAGGGCAUAAGAAGCCUUUGUGGACUCGUCUCCAGGAGGAGCAGCCCUACCCCAUGGGGUCUGCCUGCCAUGAAGCCUCCCUGUUUUCUCUGCAAUAAUUGUAACUGGACCCUUUUCUAUGUGAGCUGCUUAUCUUCCAUCUGAGGCCCAUUAGGCAGCAUACACAGAGAAUGUGUGAAGUCGGUGCUUGGCCGCCUUACUGCUUCUCGUUUUGGUGUGUGUAGAUGAGGCGAAGGCAGUUUCUGAAUUUCUGCCCCUCAGUGGGCUACAGAAGGGGAGCAGUGAGUCCCUGGGCUACUCCUGCACUGGCAACGUUUAGCAAGGGUCAGUGCCAAUUUGUGGUCAUGCCUUCGUGUCCUGUGCUUGUUGGGUUUUAUUAAUCAGCACUUUGAAAAGGCAGCAGUGGGGUUAUAGAACAUUACUGAAUUCUCGUGGAGGUAUUCAUUUAUCAUUGGCAAGCUUGAUGUUUCACAUAACUGUUACUUCAUCAUAUUCUGUGGUUGGACUUGAUGAUCUUUAAGGUCUUUUCCAACCUGAGCUAUUCUAUGAUUCUAUUAUUCUAUAUAGCAUUUAGUUAAAUGUGUUUUAAAAACCAGCCAUGGAUCCCAUGUUACCAGUGGUAUAAUAUAGAUCCAUGCCUGUCCAAGCAAGCAGCCCACUGCGUGAGUCCAGUGACGAGACAUUUAUGUGCACAGGGUACCUGCUGGGCCAAAGCCAGCAUUUAGGUGCCACUUUCCACCAAGUCUAGGGAAUUUCUCAGUUGCCCUUUUCAGCAAUGUUUUUACAGUCUUUUGUAUGGUAGCAACAGCAUUAAAGGGUUGCUAAGUGCGGGGGGAGGAGAACAGAAGGGUGGAAGUGACUACUUGCAGCUCUCCAUGCCUCUUCCUGGGAUCCAGAGGAACCAGCAGUGCUGCUCACAUUCACACAUGUGCCACCACACGUCUACAACCACACAUCCUCAAGUUAAGGACAGACACUGAAUUCCUUUCCAGUUCAAGCACUGUCAGGUAAAAAAUUGAGCUUUAUGUAUUUGAAUCAUGGACUCAUUUAGGUUGGAAAAGGACUACUAAAAGUCCACCACUAAACCAUGGUCCUAAGCACAACAUUCAUACUUGUCUUAAAUAUCUCCAAGGAUAGGGACUUCCCUGUGCCGCCUUUCUCAAUGCAUAACCACAUUGUGCAGAAAGGAAGAUCCUUCCUUUUUCCUAAAGAAGUUCUCUUGCCCCAGGAUUUCAUCCCAGCACUUGGCUCUUGUGGAGACAGCAGGAAAUGUUCACCGCAUUCUUUAAGGGGGAAACUGAUGACAGUGUUAUUCUCUGUGCACCACAACUCAUGUUUCUGGGUACUGCUAUUCUCAAAACUCUUCAUGCCAGUAAGAGCAUAGGAGCAUGUUUUAUUUCCUUGAUGAGCAAAUGCAACCCUUUGAGCUGGGAAUCUCAAAGGUAGCUCCACAAGAACAAGGCCUUGCUGAAUACUAAUGAAGUAUUUGCCAAAGUACAUGCAAUCCAUGAGCUGUGAUUUACCACUGGUCACUUUGAGAUAGUUUAUAACGAGAUAAAUGAGAAAAAUAAUGUCUCCUUUAAUAAGGUAUAGUGCAGAAAACUAUUUAAGCUGAAAAGAGAUUGGGUUUGCUGAUUGUGUACUGCAUGCAGCCUCUUGAAAACUGGGCUUUCUGUCCCGCAGGGCAUUCCAAUGCAACACUUGGUUUCAUCUGUAAUUACAAUGAACUUUCUAAAUGUCCAUUUCCCACAGAGUCGAAAAAUUUGAAGAAAAACAUGAUUAAAAAAUGGUCAGGAAUGACCUAUGACAUUGUCACUGUCUGGCCCUGCUAUGGCUUCACGUGUAAAUUCGGUUGCACAUGUGGUCACUAUCUCUAUUGCAGGACCCACAGUAAGCAGGUAAAUGCUGUCAACUGCCACAUCUAUAUCAAACUGUGUUUUUGGACAAGUACUGGAGGGCACGACAUCUGAGGUUCAUUUGCUAUGCUCCCUUUUCAGCCACAAAGUGAUUGAUGACUUUAGUGUUUACCUUUAUACAGUGAGGAGUAGGAGUUAUGUUGGCUAUACUGUUACUUCGCAGUCUUAAUGGAACCAUACUCACAAUUAAUAAGGAAUAACUACCUUGCACUUUGGUCACAGACUGAAAUGGGAGAUUUUGGUAGCAGCAACCAAAGAAAAUGUUGGCAGUGAAUGCUGCCUUUGGACUACUUCUGCCCAAUCCAGGCUACUGUGAAUAGAUUUUUUCAAUAGCUAGAGCAUUAAAAUAUUCAAAGCAAUGGCAAUAUAUUUUAUUAAAAACAGUGCAUUGCUUGGUAGGGCAGAAGGAAAUAAUGGCUCAGGGGUCUGGGAAUGGAAGAUGGAACCAUUUACAUCUAAGUCACCCUUUCACAUCUAGCCAAGGUCAGCAGUAAACAAGAAUUGUAUCGUUACCAGCUGGUGGCCCACAGAAUGAGAAAUAAAUUGAUAGUGUGAGUCCAGUUUCCAUGAAAUGAGGCAAAUACUGCAAAACCAGAACCAGAAGUGGAACUAACUGACACUGCUGCUGGCCCUACCUGGGUGCUGAGGAUAGAGUGGUGGAAACCUGACCAUGUCCCAGUAAGACAGGUGGUCCCAACAGGACUGUGGCAGAGGAACAUGCACGGUCCCUUUGCUGCCUGGUGGGCAAGGCAUCCUGCAUCCUGCAGACCCCAGGCUGCGACAUGGAGGGCCGCUUGCCUCCACCUCCCCUGGGCAUUGCACAUACCCAGACACCCAUGUCUGGCUGAUACUCAUGUUGUACAAGCAACAGCUUCUUAGUCCACCUUCCUUUAGUUAGAUGUCCUAUUGAAAUGAGAAAGCUUUAAAGUAUGAUGUGUGAGCUUGGGCUGAGGUAGCAGAUGAUGUUUAUUAUUAUUUUUAUUGGCUUCUUCUGGAUUUUCUGAUGUGAUUAAUUUAUCUAGCCAUAAUAUUUUAAAAGCACAAUCAAAUUUCAUUUUAAUUUGAAGCCAAAAUGCUCAGACUCAUAAUAUUUGAAGCUCAAAAAAUGAUGACUCUUUUUUAAAAUACCACAAGGGAUAUAUCAAUUGAGCUUAAUUACAUCAAAGAACAAUCCCAUAAGAGAGAGGGGAAAAAAAAAAAAAAAAAAAGAAGAAGGAUCUGCCAGAAAUAAAAAGGCUGCAUGGGUCAGUGGUCUCUUGAUUGUAAGGUAUGUGUUACAAUACACAUGUGUAUGUAAACAUAUACAUGCUUGUACAUAAUCAUAUAUAAACCAGCAUACUUUAACACUUAGCUCCACAAAAUGAUCUUUUCAUAGGUAUUAGGAGAGCAUGAGGUGCUCUACAAAAGGAAUUGUGCUUGCUUGUUUUUACUUUUCUCAUAUGACAGGCCAAAUAUUGCCUUUCCUGAUGCUAAUAUCUGGAAAUCUGUUACACAAGUACGCUAGGGGGAAAAAAUUAAUAAAUGGGACUCAUUAAAGGUAUUGCCAGAGAAAACUUACUAGAUUUGGCCAGGACACUGAUUUAAUCAACAUUUUUUCUUAUUGAAAGCAAAUGUUCAAGUGUGGUGAAUUUGAAGUGGCUAACUGAGGAGUUUCAGAGCGGAAAAUAGAUCUGCAUAAACCUGCAUAUAUACACUAAAUCCUAAAUGGAAGAUAGCUCUGUCUGCAUAUUCUGGAGAAGAUCCUGGAGAAAGUAGAAAUAAGGAAAAAAGACAGAAUUAAAUGUUGAUGCCUCCAGAACGAUGCUCUCUGAAGAAUCAUAGAAUUGUUGAUGUUGGAAAAGGCCUCUGAGGUUGUCUAGUGCAACCAUCCACCUACGACUAAUAUUGUCCACUAAACCCUGUCCCUAAGUGAUGCAUCUACCCUUUCCUUACACACCUCUAGGGACGGUGACUCCAGCACUUUCCUGGGCAGCCUAUCCCAGUGCACUGCCACUCUUUCUGAGAAGAAAUUCUUACUAAUACCCAACCUGAAUGAAACAGCAGCUUCACCUUUUUGUUUUAUGGGCAGUUCUAUGGAAGUCUGGCUAAAUAGCAUGGAUGAAGCACCUUCUUCUAAUGCAUCAGUGCAGAAUGAAGUGAACACAGGUAGCCCAGUACAAGGCAGAGCUAAAUGAAUUCCUUGCCUCUCUGUGAGUGCAAUCUGCACCUUGAGUCAGCUGUGCCACCCUGUUACAAAGACUUUGUUGUAGUACAGGAGUCUUAAAAAUAGCCUUCACCUCCUGAACCCCCUUCUAGAAAUGCUCCUCCACUCAGCCACAAGCUGAAGCUAAUUUUCACACAUCUGCUGUAAUUUAAACCAUCUGUGUGGCUGCAAGUUAAGGACAGAGAAUUUGUGGCCCAUAUUCUUCCCAUCUGACACUGGGAAGCUUUUGUGUGCAUUGUCCAUAUGCCUGCAUUAGCUCUAUGGGUUUGGGUCCAGAUAGCCACACUAUUUCUCUUUCAAAAACACUGUUUUUUAAGAAUCCCUCAGUGAGGAAUACUCAUUACCAAGGUGCUUAGGAAGGAGCAAGUGGUGCCAAGCUGGCUCUAGCAGGGUUGCUGGCUACUGUGCACAAUUAGUUGUUAGGCACUGAAGAGCCCUGUCGCAGCUCUUGAUUACCUAGUGUGUUUUGAAAAAUCUCCUCAGCUCAUACCAGCUUUCACUCACUGUAGGUAAUUAAGUUAGAAAAAUAAACACAAGCAGGGCUGCUCUGGCUGCAAGGACUGCUGUGCUCAAUAUAAGCCCUCAGCUGCACAGAGCCAGAGGGAGCUGCUAACAGCACUGACAGCUCAGGGAAGUGAUUUAUGAAGCUUUUCUUUUGCGAAAAGUUGGCAUCUAGACAAUCUGUGCCCCUCCCGCUGCCUGCGUGCUCUUCUGGCAUGUGUAAAGCCCAAGCAUAUUCCAUAAACAGACCAUUAAGCCCAGAAACUCUUCUUAAAACAUAUGAUUAGAAACCAAAACAGCUCAAUCCACAUCCAUGUGAUAUUUGUAUGAAGGAUUACAAAAUGGCAGCAGAAUGACAAGACAUACCAUACUGCCCAGUACCAGAGUAACCAUUUGUCUACUGGGAUAAAAACCAGCGCUGAAGUUCUCCAGUGCUGAAUGUGUAUUGCUGAGCUGAAUGUGUAUUGCUGAUCUUGAGAAAUGUUCUCCUUUAUUGCAGCGUACUCUGCUCCCACUGCUGGUUUAAUCCCAAGGAGCUCCUGCUUUUGAUCUCCAUGUGCAUCUGUGGGCAUAGACUGAGUGCCCAGAUAACUCUGGGAAUGUGGGGAAAGAUGUCCCAUCAGACAGGGCCACACCAACAGAGCCUCACAGGCCCAGGCCUUGACAAAGAACACUGCACAAGCAUGUUUGUGAUGCUUCAAAGAGACAUAGAAUCAUAGAAUGGCCUGGGUUGAAAGGGAUCACAAUGAUCAUGUAGUUUCAACACCCCUGCUAUGUCCAGGGUCACCAACCACUAGACCAGGCUGCCCAGAGACACAUCCAGUCCGGCCUUUAAUGCCUCCAGGGAUGGGGCAUCCACAACCUCCUUGGGCAACCUGUUCCAGUGUGUCACCACCCUCUGAGUGAAAAACUUCCUCCUAAUAUCUAACCUAAACCUCCCCUGUCUCAGUUUAAAAUCAUUCCCCCUUGUCCUGUCACUAUCCACCCACGUAAACAGUCAUUCCCCCUCCUGUUUAUACGCUCCCUUCAAGUAUUGGAAGGCCACAAUGAGGUCUCCCUGGAACCUUCUUUUCUCUAAGCUAAACAAGCCCAGUUCCCUCAACCUUUCUUCAUAGAAGAGGUGCUCCAGCCCUCUAAUCAUCUUAGUGGCCCUCCUCUGGACCCACUCCAAGAGUUCCACAUCCUUCCUGUACUGGGGGCUCCAGGCCUGGACACAGUACUCCAGAUGGGGCCUCACAAGAGCUGAGUAGAGGGGCACAAUCACCUCCCUCCCCCUGCUGGCCACUCCUUUUUUAGUGCAGCCCAGGAUAUAGUUGGCCUUUCAGGCUGCAACCGCACAUUGCUGGCUCAAGUGUAGCUUCUCGUCCAUCAGGACCCCCAAGUCCUUCUCUGCAGGGCUGCUCUCAAGGAGAUCUUCCCCCAGUCUGUAUAAAUACCUGGGAUUGCCCCGACCCAAGUGCAGAACUUUGGCCUUAUUGAACCUCAUUAGGUUCUGAUGGGCCCACUUUUCCAGCCUGUCCAGGUUCCUCUGGAUGUUCCCUUCCUUCCAAUGUAUCGACUGCUCCACUCAGCUUGGUGUCACCUGCAAACUUGCUGAGGGUGCACUCAAUAUCAUCAUCUGUGUCAUUGAUGAAGGUGUUGAAGAGCACCGGUCACAAGACUGACCCCUAUGGGACACCACUUGUGACCAGCCUCCACCCUGACACAGAACCAUUAAUCUCGACCCUUUGGCUUUGUCCAGCCAACCAAUUCUUAAUCCAUCGAACAGUCCAUCCUUCAAAUCCAUGCCUCUCCAAUUUAGAGAGAAGGAUGUGGUGAGGGACCAUGUCAAAAGCUUUGCAGAAGUCCAGGUAGAUGACGUCCGUUGCCCUUCCCCUGUCCACCAAUGCCGUCACCCCAUCGUAGAACACCACCAGACUGGGCAGGCAAGAUGAAGGUGAAGCCAUACUAGCUGUCUCAAAUGACCUCUUUGUCUCGUUUGUGCCUUAACAUUGCUUCUAGGAUUGCUCCUUGAUCUUCCCAGGCACAGAGGUGAGGCUCACCAGCUGGUAGUUCCCUGGGUCCUCCUUUCUCCCUUUCUUAAAAACAGGAGUAAAUGUUUCCCUUUAUCCAUUCACCAGGGACUUCACCAGACAGCCAUGAUUUUUCAAAUAUGAUAGAGAGCAGCUCAGCAACCACAUCAGCCAUCUCUUUCAGAACCCUAGGAUGGAUAUCAUCCAGCCCCAUGUAGUUAUAUAUAUUCAAAUUCAUGAGGAGGUCUUGGACUUGGUCCACUGUUACAGUGGGACAGAAACCACUCUCCAAACCCUCACCUAGAGACUCAGGGUCCUGGUAGACAUGGAAAGUCUAACCACCCGUGAAGGCUGUGGCAAAGCACUCACUGAGUACCUCAGCUUUUUCUAUGUCUGAGGAAGCCAGCUCCCCAUUACCUUUAAUCAGAGGGGGAAACGAAGGCCAUCCUUGGCCUGCCUCCUCCUGCCUAUGUACCAGUAGAACCCCUUCUUGUUAUCUUUCACAUCCCUCACCAAGUUCAGUUCCAUCUGUGCCUUGGCUUUCCUAAUCCUAUAUCUAUGCACACGGACAACAGUCCUGUAUUUGUCCCAGGCUACACAACCCUGCUUUCACUUCCUGUACAUUUCCCUCUUUUUCCUCAGUUUAAGCUGCAGGUCCUUGCACCUGCCUCCCCUGCUCAACUUCUUCUGGGGGAUGGAGAGCCAUUGUGCUCUCAGAAGGGUGUCCUUAAAGAGCUGCCAGCUCUGUUCUGUACCUUUAGCUAUGUACCCUUAAGGACAGUUUCUCAGGGUAUUCCACUCGGCAAUUCCUUGAGCAGCCGGAAGUUUGGUCUCCUGAGGCACAGGGUCCUGACUCCGCUUUUUGUCAGGCCCACAUUCUUCAAGAUCACAAACUCCACCAUGUCAUGGUCACUACAGCCCAGGCUGCCUUCAAUCUUAACCUCUUUAACGCUCUCCUCUGCAUUGGUGAGCACUAGGUCCAGUAAGGCUUCACCUCGAGUUAGUUCAUCUAUUACCUGGGCCAGGAAGUUAUCCUCAGAAGACUCCAGGAAUCUCCUGGAUUGUCCGCCACCCACCAUGCUGCUAUCCCAGCAGAUAUCCGGGUGGUUGAAAUCUCCCAUCAGGACAAGAGCCUGCAAGCACAACACCUCCUCCAGCCAAAACAAGAAGGUCUCGUCAACAGGCAACCCCUGAUCAGGUGGUCUGUAGCAGUCCCCAUCCACUAGAUGCCCUUUACUGGACUGAUGCUUGAUUUUAAGCUCUCAACCUGAGGCUAUUCCUCAGACACAGCUCUUAGCAAUCUACACACUUCCUAACAUAGAGGGCAACUCUCCCACCCCUCCUACCCCGUCUAUCCCUUCUGAAAAGCCUGUAGUCCUCAAUAAGAGUAUUCCAAUCAUGGGAUUCAUCCCACCAUGUUUCCAUGAUAGCAAUUAGGUCAUACUUUCCCAAUUGCACCACGGUUUCUAACUCCUCCUGUUUAUUUCCCACGCUGUGUGCACUGGUCUAGAGGCACUUCAGCUUAGCUAUUGGCCUUGCUGCCUUCUCAAAGGAUCCCUCCCUAAUACCUCCAGGACAAGUCUGGGGUUUUCCCUUACUGCCUCCCAAGGUGACAGCGUUCCUACGCACUUCUCUUGUCACCCAGUGCACCCCUGUCCCCCAUCAUAUCUAGUUUAAAGCCCUGCUAGCCAGCCCAGCCAGAUUGCUCCCAAGCAUAUUUGUGGUCCUACUAGUCAGUUGUCUCCUGUCCACCGUCAGUAUUCCCCCUUUCUCAAGGCUGCAUCCCAAACCAUAGUACCCAAAGUCCUGAGUGCGACAGCAUUUGCAAAGCCAUUCAUUCAGCAUGUCCACCCUCGUCCUUUUGUGUGGAUCCCAGUCACCAACUGAGAGGACAGAGGAGAACACAACUUGUGCUCCUGAUCUCUUCAGCAGCCUUGAAGUCCCUUUUGAUCACUGGAGAACUUCUUUUGCCUACCUCUUCAUUUCCAGUGUGGAAAACUGGUAAUGGGUAAUAAUCAGAGGUCUUAACCAGGCAAGUGAUGUUCCUAGCAACAUCUCUCACCUGAGCUCCAGGCAGGCAACACACCUCCCUGUGGGACGGGUCUGAGCAGCACAUUGGGCCCUCGGUUCCCCUCAGAAGGGAGCCCCCUAUGAUGAGAGCCCUUCUUUUUUUUUCCUGACUGCAAAACAACAGGGUCAAUCAACUCUUUUUUAAAUAAUCAGAAGUUUAAAGUUAAGAAAAGUACCAGUAAUGUACUGCUGGUUUCACAGAGAAGAUGCAGUUCUCUUUGUGGUCAAAAGUAAGAGAGCAAUAAGCUUUAUAAGAAAUAAGUUGUCUUGUGAGAACCACUGCAAGGGCAGUUGAGAACAAGUGCUAUAUUCAUCUCUCAAGUUUUCAAGGCUGCUCAUAAUUUGGAUGAAAAGCAGUAACAGGGAUUUAAGGCAGAUUAAGAACGGGCUAAUGUGUUUAACCUACAGAUAACUCAAUCAAAGCUUUCCAGAUCCUGCUAUAAUGGUAUAAUGUGCUUAAUCCAUUGUGAGAGUCAUCAUCUCUGCAACCUCCUCAGAGGUGUUCCCCUAAUCAGUCCAGCUGUUUUCAUUAGGGUAAAUGGAUUUCACCAUUUCCAUCAGCAAUGAAUCUGUGCGUUUCCA